UACGAAGGGUGCAAGCGUUACUCGGAAUUACUGGGCGUAAAGCGUGCGUAGGUGGUUGUUUAAGUCUGUUGUGAAAGCCCUGGGCUCAACCUGGGAAUUGCAGUGGAUACGGGGCGACUAGAGUGUGGUAGAGGGUAGUGGAAUUCCCGGUGUAGCAGUGAAAUGCGUAGAGAUCGGGAGGAACAUCCAUGGCGAAGGCAGCUACCUGGACCAACACUGACACUGAGGCACGAAAGCGUGGGGAGCAAACAGG
rnacentral:rRNA from 1 species